rfam:Nematostella vectensis strain CH2 x CH6 NEMVEscaffold_184_Cont17722, whole genome shotgun sequence.
CAAACGACUCUUUUAAGAGCCACCCAAAUGCUUUAAAACUCAUGA